AGCAGAGGUAGUUUAUUAGAAUAUAAAAUUGUCGAUUUUACGGUACCAAUUUGGUUCUUUGUUU
rnacentral:tRNA from 1 species